AAAAAAAUUUUUAUAGUUUUAUUAUUUUAUUUUUAAUUUAUUUUACAUACAAAUUUUAGUGAUUAAUUUUAUUUAUUUUAAUAAUAUAAUAAUUUGUAGUAAUUAAUAUUAAAAUAUUUAAGAAAUUAAGAUUUAGUAAUAUUAAAAUAAAUAACUAAUUUUGUGCCAGCAGUUGCGGUUAUACAAAAAUUUAAUUAAAAUUUUUCAGUAUUUAAUAAAUAAUUAUUUAUUAAAUUAAAAAUUAAAUUAUUAGGUGAAAUUUUAAUUUAAUAAAAAUUUAAAUAAAAAUUAUGAUUUAAUAACUUUUUUAAAAAACUAGGAUUAGAUACCCUAUUAUUAAAAUUAAAAAUAUAAUACUAAAAUAUUAGGUAAUUAUUUAUUAAAACUUAAAUAAUUUGGCGGUAUUUUAGUUCAUUUAGAGGAAUCUGUCUAAUAAUUGAUAAUCCACGAUUAAAUUUACUUAAUUUAAAAUUUUAUAUAUCGUUGUUAAAAAAAUAUUUUUAAAAAAUAUUAAUAUUUAAAAAUUUUAAUUAAAAAUUAAUUCAGAUCAAGAUGUAGAAUAUAGUUAAGAAUAUGAUGGAUUACAAUAAAUUUAUUUAAAUGAAUUUUUUUUUUUAAUAUAAAAAUGAAAGUGGAUUUAAAUGUAAUUUUAUUAAUUUAAAUAAAAUGAUUAAAAAUUAAAAUAUGUACAUAUUGCCCGUCGCUUUCAUUUAAAAAUUGAAAUAAGUCGUAACAAAGUAGAUGUACUGGAAAGUGCUUCUAGAAUU
rnacentral:ncRNA from 1 species